CGGAUCUCGAAAGCCUGUCCCAGUUCGGACUGGAGUCUGCAACCCGACUCCACGAAGUUGGAUUCGCUAGUAAUCGCGCAUCAGCCACGGCGCGGUGAAUACGUUCCCGGGCCUUGUACACACCGCCGUCAAGCCAUGGAAGCCGGGAGUGCCUGAAGUGCGUGAGCGCAAGCAGCGCCCUAAGGUAAAACCGGUGACUGGGGCUAAGUCGUAACAAGGUAAC
rnacentral:rRNA from 1 species